rnacentral:tRNA from 1 species
GGGCUUGUGGCUCAGUGGUAGAGCUCUUGCCUUGCAUGUGCAAGGUCCUGGGUUCAAUACCUAGCACCACCA